rnacentral:rRNA from 1 species
CCCUGGAGUGGGGAAUAACUGAGGGAAACCUUAGCUAAUACCGCAUAAUACCUACGGGUCAAAGGAGCAAUUCGCUUCAGGAGGGGGUCGCGGCCGAUUAGUUAGUUGGCGGGGUAAUGGCCCACCAAGACAGUGAUCGGUAUCCGGCCUGAGAGGGCGCACGGACACACUGGAACUGAAACACGGUCCAGACUCCUACGGGAGGCAGCAGUGGGGAAUUUUGCGCAAUGGGGGAAACCCUGACGCAGCAACGCCGCGUGGAGGAUGAAAUCCCUUGGGAUGUAAACUCCUUUCGAUCGGGACGAUUAUGACGGUACCGGAAGAAGAAGCCCCGGCUAACUUCGUGCCAGCAGCCGCGGUAAUACGAGGGGGGCAAGCGUUGUUCGGAAUUAUUGGGCGUAAAGGGAGCGUAGGCGGUUUUGUAAGUCGUGUGUGAAAUCUUCGGGCUCAACUCGAAGUCUGCACACGAAACUGCAGGGCUUGAGUAUGGGAGAGGUGAGUGGAAUUCCUGGUGUAGCGGUGAAAUGCGUAGAUAUCAGGAGGAACACCUGUGGCGAAAGCGGCUCACUGGACCAUUACUGACG